rnacentral:rRNA from 1 species
UACGUAGGGAGCAAGCGUUGUCCGGAUUUACUGGGCGUAAAGGGCGCGUAGGCGGUCAGCACAAGUCAGUUGUGAAAUCUCCGGGCUUAACUCGGAAAGGUCAACUGAUACUGUGCGACUAGAGUGCGGAAGGGGCAACUGGAAUUCUUGGUGUAGCGGUGAAAUGCGUAGAUAUCAAGAGGAACACCUGCGGCGAAGGCGGGUUGCUGGGCCGACACGUGACGCUGAUGCGCGAAAGCCAGGGGAGCGAACGGG